rnacentral:rRNA from 1 species
UACGAAGGGUGCAAGCGUUAAUCGGAAUUACUGGGCGUAAAGCGCGCGUAGGUGGUUCAGUAAGUUGGAAGUGAAAUCCCCGGGCUCAACCUGGGAACUGCUUUCAAAACUGCUGAGCUAGAGUACGGUAGAGGGUGGUGGAAUUUCCUGUGUAGCGGUGAGAUGCGUAGAUAUAGGAAGGAACACCAGUGGCGAAGGCGACCACCUGGACUGAUACUGACACUGAGGUGCGAAAGCGUGGGGAGCAAACAGG